GAUGAACGCUAGCUACAGGCUUAACACAUGCAAGUCGAGGGGCGAUCAGGAAGAAAGCUUGCUUUCUUUGCUGGCGACCGGCGCACGGGUGAGUAACACGUAUCCAACCUGCCCUUUACUCGGGGAUAGCCUUUCGAAAGAACGAUUAAUACCCGAUGGCAUAAUGAUUCCGCAUGGUUCAUAUUAAAGGAUUCCGUAAAGGAUGGGAUGCGUUCCAUUAGGUUGUUGGUGAGGUAACGGCCCACCAAGCCUUCGAUGGAUAGGGGUUCGUGAGAGGAAGGUCCCCC
rnacentral:rRNA from 1 species